UACAGAGGCCUCGAGCGUUAGGCGGAAUCACUGGGCUUAAAGCGUGUGUAGGCGGACUUCUAAGUACCUUGUGAAAUCCCACGGCUCACCCGUGGAACUGCUUGGUAUACUGGUUGUCUUGAGCCUUCUAGGGGCGAGUGGAACAAAUGGUGGAGCGGUGAAAUGCGUAGAUAUCAUUUGGAACGCCAAUGGUGAAACCAACUCGCUGGGGAAGUGCUGACGCUGAGACACGAAAGCCAGGGGAGCGAACGGG
rnacentral:rRNA from 1 species